AUGAACGCUAGCGGCAGGCCUAAUACAUGCAAGUCGAACGAUAGAUAGAAGCUUGCUUCUAUCGAAAGUGGCGCACGGGUGCGUAACGCGUAUGCAACCUACCUUAAUCUGGGGGAUAGCCCGGAGAAAUCCGGAUUAAUACCGCAUAAAAUCACAGGAUGGCAUUAUCCAAUGAUCAAACAUUUAUGGGAUUGAGAUGGGCAUGCGUGUCAUUAGCUAGUUGGCGGGGUAACGGCCCACCAAGGCGACGAUGACUAGGGG
rnacentral:rRNA from 1 species